rnacentral:rRNA from 1 species
UACGUAGGGGGCAAGCGUUGUCCGGAAUCAUUGGGCGUAAAGCGCGUGUAGGCGGUCCGGUAAGUCUGCUGUGAAAGUCCAGGGCUCAACCCUGGGAUGCCGGUGGAUACUGCUGGGCUAGAGUACGGAAGAGGCGAGUGGAAUUCCCGGUGUAGCGGUGAAAUGCGCAGAUAUCGGGAGGAACACCAGUAGCGAAGGCGGCUCGCUGGGCCACACCUGACGCUGAGACGCGAAAGCUAGGGGAGCGAACAGG